rnacentral:ribozyme from 1 species
UGCCCAGCAACUCCUAUUUUUACCACCUCAUGGUACUGGUCGGGGUACGAGCAACCUUAAAAAAGAUCGAAUAACCCCAGUGGGAAAUUUUGGUCGUAUGCUGACAGGGAAGG